UUGGGCGUAAGCGCGCGCAGGCGGGAUGGUAAGUCUAACUUAAAAGUGCGGGGCUUAACCCCGUGAGGGGUUAGAAACUACCAUUCUUGAGUGCAGGAGAGGAAAGUGGAAUUCCUAGUGUAGCGGUGAAAUGCGUAGAUAUUAGGAGGAACACCAGUGGCGAAGGCGACUUUCUGGACUGUGUCUGACGCUGAGGCGCGAAAGCCAGGGGAGUGAACGGGAUUAGAUACCCCGGUAAUCCUGGCCGUAAACGAUGGGUACUAGGUGUAGGAGGUAUCGACCCCUUCUGUGCCGGAGUUAACGCAAUAAGUACCCCGCCUGGGGAGUACGGCCGCAAGGUUGAAACUCAAAGGAAUUGACGGGGGCCCGCACAAGCGGUGGAGUAUGUGGUUUAAUUCGACGCAACGCGAAGAACCUUACCAGGGCUUGACAUUGAGUGAAAAGUCAAGAGAUUGACUCCUGUCUUCGGACACACGAAAACAGGUGGUGCAUGGCUGUCGUCAGCUCGUGUCGUGAGAUGUUGGGUUAAGUCCCGCAACGAGCGCAACCCUUAUCCUAUGUUGCCAGCAUGUAAAGGUGGGAACUCAUAGGAGACUGCCGUCGACAAGACGGAGGAAGGUGGGGAUGACGUCAAGUCAUCAUGCCCCUUAUGUCCUGGGCUACACACGUACUACAAUGGGCCAGAAUAGAGGGAAGCAAAACCGCGAGGUAGAGCGAACCCCAGAAAAUGGCUCUCAGUUCGGAUCGUAGGCUGCAACUCGCCUACGUGAAGUCGGAAUCGCUAGUAAUCGCAGGUCAGCAUACUGCGGUGAAUACGUUCCCGGGCCUUGUACACACCGCCCGUCACACCACGAGAGUUGAGAGCACCCGAAGCCGGUGAGGUAACCGUAAGGAACCAGCCGU
rnacentral:rRNA from 1 species